GCUCAGGAUGAACGCUGGCGGCGUGCCUAACACAUGCAAGUCGAACGAAGCAAUUGAAGGAAGUUUUCGGAUGGAAUUCGAUUGACUGAGUGGCGGACGGGUGAGUAACGCGUGGAUAACCUGCCUCACACUGGGGGAUAACAGUUAGAAAUGACUGCUAAUACCGCAUAAGCGCACAGUACCGCAUGGUACAGUGUGAAAAACUCCGGUGGUGUGAGAUGGAUCCGCGUCUGAUUAGCCAGUUGGCGGGGUAACGGCCCACCAAAGCGACGAUCAGUAGCCGACCUGAGAGGGUGACCGGCCACAUUGGGACUGAGACACGGCCCAAACUCCUACGGGAGGCAGCAGUA
rnacentral:rRNA from 1 species